rnacentral:rRNA from 1 species
GACGAACGCUGGCGGCGUGCUUUACACAUGCAAGUCGAACGGUGAAGGUGGAGCUUGCUCCGCCGGAUCAGUGGCGAACGGGUGAGUAACACGUGGGCAACCUGCCCCUAACUUUGGUAUAACUACUCGAAAGAGUAGCUAAUACCGGAUAUGAAGUCUGUAGGCAUCUACGGACUUGGAAAGUUUUUCGGUUAGGGAUGGGCCCGCGGCCUAUCAGCUUGUUGGUGGGGUAGUGGCUCACCAAGGCGACGACGGGUAGCCGGCCUGAGAGGGCGACCGGCCACACUGGGAGUGAGACACGGCCCAGACUCCUACGGGAGGCAGCAGUGGGGAAUAUUGCGCAAUGGGCGAAAGCCUGACGCAGCAACGCCGCGUGCGGGAUGAAGGCGUUCGGGUUGUAAACCGCUUUCAGCAGGGAAGAAGCGAAAGUGACGGUACCUGCAGAAGAAGCACCGGCUAACUACGUGCCAGCCGCCGCCGUAA